AGCCCCUGGGUAGUCCCUCUGGCAUUUUCAUCUUGUCCCCAAAAGGGUCCUCUUUGUUCACUUCUAUUGCACCUAUUUUACUCUCACUCUCUAUCCUCAACCCCUCCUUUCUCUGUAAAUUACAUCCAGUUUUCAUGCAAUGCUUCGUCGCAACCCCCCCCCCCCCAGUAGUAUGAAGUUGCAGGUACAUGAUACAUGCUGAUUUAAGGUCCGUUUUGCGUCCCCACCACUUUAUGGUUACAGUUAGGAUAUAUCCACCACUUCAUGGUUACAGUUAGGAUAUAUCCACCACUUCAUGGUUACAGGUAGGAUAUAUCCACCACUUCAUGGUUACAGUUAGGAUAUAUCCACCACUUCAUGGUUACAGUUAGGAUAUAUCCACCACUUCAUGGUUACAGUUAGGAUAUAUCCACCACUUCAUGGUUACAGGUAGGAUAUAUCCACCACUUCAUGGUUAUAGUUAGGAUAUAUCCACCACUUCAUGGUUAUAGUUAGGAUAUAUCCACCACUUCAUGGUUACAGGUAGGAUAUAUCCACCACUUCAUGGUUACAGUUAGGAUAUAUCCACCACUUCAUGGUUACAGGUAGGAUAUAUCCACCACUUCAUGGUUACAGGUAGGAUAUAUCCACCACUUCAUGGUUAUAGUUAGGAUAUAUCCACCACUUCAUGGUUACAGGUAGGAUAUAUCCACCACUUCAUGGUUACAGGUAGGAUAUAUCCACCACUUCAUGGUUACAGGUAGGAUAUAUCCACCACUUCAUGGUUACAGGUAGGAUAUAUCCACCACUUCAUGGUUACAGGUAGGAUAUAUCCACCACUUCAUGGUUACAGUUAGGAUAUAUCCACCACUUCAUGGUUACAGUUAGGAUAUAUCCACCACUUCAUGGUUACAGUUAGGAUAUAUCCACCACUUCAUGGUUACAGUUAGGAUAUAUCCACCACUUCAUGGUUACAGGUAGGAUAUAUCCACCACUUCAUGGUUACAGUUAGGAUAUAUCCACCACUUCAUGGUUACAGUUAGGAUAUAUCCACCACUUCAUUGGUUACAGUUAGGAUAUAUCCACCACUUCAUGGUUAUAGUUAGGAUAUAUCCACCACUUCAUGGUUACAGUUAGGAUAUAUCCACCACUUCAUUGGUUACAGUUAGGAUAUAUCCACCACUUCAUGGUUAUAGUUAGGAUAUAUCCACCACUUCAUGGUUACAGGUAGGAUAUAUCCACCACUUCAUGGUUACAGUUAGGAUAUAUCCACCACUUCAUGGUUACAGUUAGGAUAUAUCCACCACUUCAUGGUUACAGUUAGGAUAUAUCCACCACUUCAUGCAGUGUUUCCCAAACUCGGUCCUGUGGCCCCCACUGGGUACACGUUUUGUUUAUUACUCCUAACACUACACAGCUGAUUCAAAUGAUCAAAGCUUGGUGAUUAGUUGAUUAUUUGAAUCAGCUGUGUUGUGCUAGGAGGAAAAAAAAGAAGAAAAAAAACGUGGACUGAGUUUGGGAAACGCUGACCUAAUGGUUAAGGUUAGAACUAAAGGAGAGUAAGCUGAUCCUAGAUCUGUGCCUGUGGACUACUUAUAGUGAAGCAGCUACUGCAGAACUGUGCCAGCUCUCUCCACAACCCCAGUGGAACAUUUGUGAAUAAUAUUUUUUUACAGGCAAUAUCUUGUGCUGGUCUUCCUGCCAUGACCUGCCACAGUUAGAAGUGGACGUGUCUGA